rnacentral:misc_RNA from 1 species
AAUAGUGAGAAGAUAGUAGAAGUUCAUUAUGAAUGUCAGGCAAGCAUUGUUAGUGUGAUCAACAAAAUCACUUUGCAGUGAAGCAAUGAUGGCAGAACAACAGUAGGGGUAGAACGAGAAGUGACAAGUAUGGGUGGUUAUAAAUCACUAAAAAGUUCAAGGAUCAAAUUAAUGAUCAUAGAUAAGGGUGGGAUUAGUGUUGGAAGAAUUUAUUAG